UCGGGAAUUUUGGGCAAUGGGCGAAAGCCUGACCCAGCAACGCCGCGUGAAGGAUGAAGUAUUUCGGUAUGUAAACUUCGUAAGAAUAGGAAGAAUCAAUGACGGUACUAUUUGUAAGCUCCGGCUAACUACGUGCCAGCAGCCGCGGUAAUACGUAGGGGGCAAGCGUUGUUCGGAUUUACUGGGCGUAAAGGGCGCGUAGGCGGCGUGACAAGUCACUUGUGAAAUCUCCGGGCUUAACUCGGAACGG
rnacentral:rRNA from 1 species